GGAGAGGUCGCAUAGUGGUCUAGUGCGCCGCACUCGAAAUGCGGUGUGUCGCAAGGCACCGUGGGUUCGAAUCCCACCCUCUCCUCCA
rnacentral:tRNA from 2 species